rnacentral:rRNA from 1 species
GAUGAACGCUGGCGGCGUGCUUAACACAUGCAAGUCGAACGGAAAGGCUCCUGCUUGCAGGGGUACUCGAGUGGCGAACGGGUGAGUAACACGUGGGUGAUCUGCCCUGCACUUCGGGAUAAGCCUGGGAAACUGGGUCUAAUACCGGAUAGGACGAUGGUUUGGAUGUCAUUGUGGAAAGUUUUUUCGGUGUGGGAUGAGCUCGCGGCCUAUCAGCUUGUUGGUGGGGUAAUGGCCUACCAAGGCGUCGACGGGUAGCCGGCCUGAGAGGGUGUACGGCCACAUUGGGACUGAGAUACGGCCCAGACUCCUACGGGAGGCAGCAGUGGGGAAUAUUGCACAAUGGGCGCAAGCCUGAUGCAGCGACGCCGCGUGGGGGAUGACGGCCUUCGGGUUGUAAACUCCUUUCGCUAGGGACGAAGCGCAAGUGACGGUACCUGGAGAAGAAGCACCGGCUAACUACGUG